GUGCAGCCGCCGCUCCGAGCGGACGAAAAAUUUUAAGUCGUCCGAAUAAUUGCAAUUAUAAAAGUUAUUUAAUACGGAAUAUUCAGUUAAAAGCCAGUUGUGAAAGUUGAAUUCUGUUUUUAAGCUGAAUUGGGCCGAUUUCCGGCCGAAAAUCAAUCGGAAUGUAAUUCAGGCAUUUGGGCUCCACUCCAUGUGUGUGUGUGACAUACUGCGAAGAUGCGGGGGGCGAGGGCCGCAGCGCACUAGCGAGAGCGAAAGUUUCAAGAACAUUCGUGCAGGAGUCUUGAGUAACGGGCCCCCGCUCUGCGGAGUUGUGUAAUGGCUGCUCGGGAAGAGCGGGUGGCGGUCGGAAAUGGCCAAUGAAAGAGAAAGCUGCACACAUGAGUUGAAAGCAUGGAGGGAGACUGCACAAAGGAGGAAGGGAGACUAAUGAUAAGCAUCUAAUAACGGGCCCCCGCUCUGCGGAUUUGUGUGAUGGCUGCUUGUGAUGAGCGGGGGGCGGAAGGACAGUGAAAGAGAAAGCAUGGAAGGAGACUGAAUGGAGAAUGGAUAGAGACUGAUAAAAAGCAUAUAAUAACGGGCCCACCCACUCCACCAGUGCAUGGAACAGUUAAUGUUGAGAGGGUGGGCGGACAAGGUUCACCUUAAAGAAAGGAAAGAGAAGCUGCAAAGGAAGCGCACACAUGAAUGGAAUGCAGGAAUGGAAAGCACGAAUGGAAAGAUUUAACUGCGUAUGAGUUCCAGUUGGGAUAGAGACGCAGCCGCGGCCAAAGCCAUAUCCGCAUCCGUGGUCGCUGGUCCGCGAAACGUAAAAGAUACGGACGCAGAAGCCGGCGAUGGAAAGCAUCGGGAAAUAAGGGAAAAACGCACGAAAAUGUUUUAAUCUCAACGGCAAACGGAAGCGGAAAUCAAACGACCAGAACAGCGGCCGAAGCGGAGCUUGAAUUUGAAGUGAUGUAUAAGCAGCGGCAAUCGCGAUGCAGCGGCGGGCAGGAGGGGCGCUACAGACGCAGAAAAUGUAACUCGGCACUGACUUUUAAAUAAAAUGCUUUUUGCCCAAAAAAAACCUCCCAACUUUCUACUUUUUUCAGUGCACGGUGGGCAGAGGGGGAGGGCGCGACCAAGUAUCAAACAAAAUUUUUAAUGUCUUCGUCCGAGUCUCGUUUGGUGUCUUCUGCCCGGGCGCCUUGUUAAAAAAGCACCCGAGUCCUGCAGCCAACUGGCCGGGCCAGCCAGCCACCCCCUUUCCAUCAUCGCCACGCCUCCGCGGCACCCCCUCCCCUGGCUGGGAAGCGUCCUUUGAUUUUUUCCGAAGUUUUUUAGCUUUUAUGCUGGAAAUUUUGAUGUUAUUUUUUGUGCCCUUGGCUCAUUAGGAUUUUUUCAGCGGCAGUUUGUUGGAAAAGCGAUAAAAAUUUUAG